GUCAUGAUAUAAACCAUGAAUACAUAGACAUAUAAAAGAAAAAGCAACAACAUAUCAAUCCCUACAUACGUAUAUAUAAUACUCUCCCAAGAGGAAAAAUAUACGAAAAAUAACAACAAAUCAAUGAAUAAUCCCUCUCAUGAAAACUAGAGCACAUCAUGAUGAUCAGAAGAGGUCCCAAUCACACUUGGUCGUCUCGAACGGGGACGACGAGCUUCCCGGCACCGGAAGCUUCAGGUCGCAAUUAAUUUUCGUCUUAGUAUAUCGGAUCUUAAAGAUCCCCACCUUGACCCUCAGCCUGGUGUAGAACUUGAUAUCAACGUAGUAAUACCCCUC
rnacentral:lncRNA from 1 species